CCUACGGGUGGCAGCAGUGAGGAAUAUUGGUCAAUGGACGCAAGCCUGAACCAGCCAUGCCGCGUGCAGGAAGACGGCCCUACGGGUUGUAAACUGCUUUUAUACGGGGGUAAACGCAGAUACGCGUACCUGUCUGAAUGUAUCUUACGAAUAAGGAUCGGCUAACUCCGUGCCAGCAGCCGCGGUAAUACGGAGGAUUCAAGCGUUAUCCGGAUUUAUUGGGUUUAAAGGGUGCGUAGGUGGGUGGAUAAGUUAGUGGUGAAAGUGUGAGGCUCAACUGCGGAAUUGCAUCUGAUACUGUCAGUCUAGAGAAUAGUUGCGGUAGGCGGAAUGCAUGGUGUAGCGGUGAAAUGCUUAGAGAUCACGCAGAACACCGAUUGCGAAGGCAGCUUACCAAGCUACCUCUGACAUUGAUGCACGAAAGCGUGGGUAGCAAACAGGAUUAGAUACCCGAGUAGUC
rnacentral:rRNA from 1 species